UUUACACUCACUAUAGACACGUGAGCAACA
rnacentral:piRNA from 1 species